rnacentral:lncRNA from 1 species
AGAAUGAUUGCGAAGAUUGCCAAUCUUUUAAUAUUGUUAUUUCUGCUAAUGGGAGCCUCAUCCACUGAUGCACGUGAGUCGGAAAUUAUCCUUUUAAUAUUUUCUUCAAUAACCAUGGCCACUUUAUUUCAAAUAGAAACUUUCCGACUAAAUUUAAUAAAUUACUUCUUGAUAUCAGAAUAUUUAAAGAAAUGGUGAAAUUUGAACUAAGACUGCAGCUCGUUAAAACUAUAAGCAUAAUACAAAAAAAACUAUUUGCCACAAUAAUCUUUUCUACUAUAGGCACAAGGCCUGAUAUUUGGUGGGAGGGGGUUAAGUCAACCCAACCCCCACCCCGCCCCACCCAGUGCUCAACUUGUACUUAAUUUAUCGACUUCGAAAUGAUGAAAGGCAAAGUCGAUCCCGGCAGAAAUAUUCGCCACAAUAAUGACGUUGUAUCUGAGCCAGAAACUACUAUUAUAGAGUAAUACUAAAAUACUUCAUUCCAUUACCUUUUAUUUAAAUGUUAAGUCAUCCUCGUUCCAGCAUUCAAACUGAGGCUCUAUAUUUAAGAGUAAAUGUGUAUAGUGGAGGCGCAAUAGCCCAGUGGUUAGGGCAGCGGACUCGCAGUCGUGGGAUCGCAGUUUCGAGGCUCCGGCAGAGAGUGGUGGCGAACCCUGCUGCACUCUUUCACCACAGCUUUCUCUCGCUGUUUCUGUUGUACCUGUAUUUCAAGUGUCUCACUGAAUCUCCCGAGAACUACGUUAAGAGUACACGUGUCUGUGGAGUGCUCAGCCACUUGCAUGUUAAUUUCACGAGCAGGUUGUUCCGUUGAUCGGAUCAACUGGAACCCUCGUCGUCGUAACCGACUGAGUGCCACGAAAUGUAUAUACGUGCGCGGGCACACACACAGGCACGCACAGACACACACACACACACAUAUAUGUGUAUGUAUAUAUAUAUAUAUAUAUAUAUAUAUAUAUAUAUAUAUAUACAUAAAUAUGUAAUGGUGUCUGUCUGUGUGUGUGUGUUUGGGGUUCAUCCAACCGAUUUUAAUGAUUUUUGGUACAUAGGUAGAUCACAUGCCCUAAAGUUCAAAUAAGGCCGGAAUUUUUCGAAAACUUGAUAAUGCUCAGUUUGUAUCGAUUUUGUGAGCUCAAUCGGGCGUUUUAAUGGAAAUUCCCAUAACGAUGUUAUUUUUCCUGUAGCUUUUUGUAUGUUUUGUCCGAUUUUGAUGAAAAUCGAUCAGUGAGCGAGGCUCAUGGCAGUGAGUUGAUGUCAGUACAUGGUGUUGACAAAAUAUCGAUAAUUACGGCUUAGCAGUGGUUUUAUAAAAUCAAUAGGCUUUUUGCGUGCAAAAUACCCAUUUGCAUUUUAUUUGUGGCCAUAACUUUUUUAGUCUGAGAUGUAGGUAAAUUUUCUGGUGAGGGAGACGAUAAAGAUUGUUAUUUAAUUCAAAAGGGCUUGAAAAGGGCACAAAUGCAAAUAAACAUUUCCUUAGAGACAUUCUAAUCGAUUUUGUAGAAAUUUUACACGUGAUUACAGCUCAUGUCCAUUAGCUGAUCCCAGCAUGAAGAGUUAACAAAAAAUCGAUAACUGCACGUGAGCGGGAGAUUUUAAGAAAUCAAUAGGCUUUUUGUAUGCAAUUACCCAUAGGAUUAAUAUUUUAUGCUGUAGCUUUACAGAAUUCAUCCAAUUUUGAUAAAAUUUAGCAUUUAGGUAAACUUUGUGGUCGGAGUCAUGUAGUAGGAAUUAAAAUUAAACUGGUGAAAAGCAGGAAUCGUCAAAAUUCACUCACAAUAAAAUAAUGAACUGAUUUUGAAGAAAAUUGACCCAUGAGUAAAAUUAAGCACUUCGACAUAUGAAACAUCGAUUAUUCAUAAAAUGUAUUGGAAUGGAAUUUAAAAGUCAAUGGAAUAUUUUCAUGUAAAUGCUCACAUGGAUUCUAUUUCAUGACAUAACCUUAACAUUUUUCUUCAGAUUUUGCUGAGAUUGGAUACGCUGAUUAAUUUUGUACAGGGGGUGGCAUUAAUGGGAGAGAAAUAAACAAACAUCACUCCCAACAUCACUGGCUAUUUGAUUUAUAGUCAAUUGCCUGUCAUCCAUCACCAUGUGGUGAACACGAUCAAUGUUUUCCUCGGUAGUCGCAGAUGCAAGAUGUCCAGGCCUCGGGUCAUCUUCAAAACUCUCCCAUCCGCUCCUAACCUCAGCUGCCCAUUUUUACACUUUCGAUAAAGGCGGCGAGCUGGCAGAAUUGUUAGCACGCCGGGCGAAAUGCUUUGCGGUAUUUCGUCCGCCGCUGCGUUCUGAGUUCAAAUUCCGCCGAGGUCGACUUUGCCUUUCAUUCUUUCGGGGUCGAUAAAUUAAGUACUAGUUACGCACUGGGGUCGAUGUAAUCGACUUAAUCCGUUUGUCUGUCCUUGUUUGUCCCCUCUGUGUUUAGCCCCUUGUGAGUAGUAAAGAGAUACGUUUUUACACUUUCGAUAAAGCUGGAGCGUCACCCUCAAAUGUAGCAACCAUGUCAGCAUGAAUAUCCUUGGGACUUAAACCCUUUUUCUGCGGGUACUUUUUUGUCCAUUUUCAAGAGAAGUCGCUACUAGUUAGAUUUUUAAGUCUUCUUUGAACAGUUAGAUGUCGGUAUGGUGAGAGAGAGAGAGAGAGAGAGAGAGAGAGAGUUUACCAAAGUGCUACAAAUAAUUUCGUGCUUCAGAGUUACAAUAUUUUGGCCGAUUUAUAUAACACGCCAUGUAUCUCCAACCGAUCUUUCGGAAUCAGUGCCUUUCGUUAGAUGUAUUUAAAAGCCAGGGCGCUGGUCUGUGAGAAAACAUGAGAAAAACCUUUCAUUUCAGUAUCUAAUGAAAAGUUGCUGAGUUAGUGCUCAGUUAGAAUGAAGAACUGUAUUGGAUUGUUCGGCAAUCCAGAUUCAAAGAGUCAGAAUUUUCCAUUUUUACGCAUGGAUAAAUGGACUGAUAUCUUGAGCAUUUAAUAGGAUUGUCGUUGCCAAGGUAGCUGGGGUUUUUUCUAUAUUGCUUUAAGUUUCAUGACUUGUCCUCAUGGUUGUUUAGUGACAUCACUGUGAUACUUGGUGUACUGAGGUGACAGCAGAAAAUGAUGUACUAAGGCAAGAAUUAUUUCUUACCAUUUCUUUUGCUGGAUUCAGCAUGGUUAAAUAGAUGUCAUUUGGAAUUUAAUGAAAUUAAUGACUGAACAAACACAGACUUGUGUCACAAGAGCUAGAUACCUAAACAGUAGAAUGUGAGAAAAUAAUACAUACACACACAUACACACGCGCGUGCGCAUGUGUGUAACAAAAAGGAAAUGACAAAGGAAUAAACGAUUAUCUUAUGAACUUCAUUAGCUUACAGCUGUUUCCGCGGUUGGACUCAUAGUUGAGUGCCUGAGUAACAUCUUACAGUUUCAUCAGAGCCUCAAAGAUGAAGUGCAAUUUAUUUGGAAGACUUAUGGUAUUUUCAAGUUAAAGGAAAGAUGGUGACGCAUUGUGCAACAAAAAUGGUUCAUAUUUGGUUGAUUAAAAAUGUAAUGGCAAGUAUUUAUUGACCUUUUCCUUUCCUUUAAAAAUCGGCACGAACUUUCGGGACAACCUAAUACAUACAAACAAGGACAUAAUCGCAUAUGUCUGCACUAGCACAAACGUAAGAUUCCAAACGAUUAUAGUAAGCAGAAGAGAAAGAAUCUGAAGGAAAAAGUCUUCCUUGCUGACGUUUCUCUGUUUCCGAAUGGGAGAUAAUUGUGAAGAAUCUGAGAUGUGACCUUAUUAUGAAAUAGAAGAUGGAUUGAGAGACAACCUAAGCGUUCUAGUGGACAUCAAGGAAUUGAUUCCGAGAGCAAUCACCUAAACAGUACCUGUUUACAUAUUCAUGAACUAAAUUGGAGUUUAUAAUUAAUCGUUUCAACUUUUUUUUUAUUUUUUAUUUCCAGAUAUCAAAUGUUUCAAAUGGGAAAUCUAAAUUGUAUACGAGAAUACAGAUAUUUUAAGCAACAGCAAUAUAAUGCAUGUAGUUAUGUAACUGUGGAGGCGCAAUGGCCCAGUGGUUAGGGCAGCGGACUCGCGGUCGUAGGAUCGCGGUUUCGAUUCCCAGACCGCGCGUUGUGAGUGUUUAUUGAGCGAAAACACCUAAUGCUCCAUGAGGCUCCGGCAGGGAUGGUGGUGAUCCUUGCUGUACUCUUUCACCACAACUUUCUCUCACUCUUACUUCCUGUUUCUGUUGUACCUGUAUUUCAAAGGGCCGGCCUUGUCACUCUCUGUGUCACGCUGAAUAUCCCCGAGAACUACGUUAAGGGUACACGUGUCUGUGGAGUGCUCAGCCACUUACACGUUAAUUCCACGAGCAGGCUGUUCCGUUGAUCGGAUCAACCGGAACCCUCGUCGCCGUAACCGACGGAGUGCUUCCACCAGUUAUGUAACUAAGCAGAAAGCUAUUUUCUAUCAAAAUCUACCUAAAGUUAUUCCGUGAUGAAAUUCAUCAUACAUCAAUAUUUCACUUAGAAUUAUAACUCUUUGUGAGGAAAUAAAAAUACAAUUCAUGAAUAAAAUAUUUUACUAAUGCGCAAUAUAUCUCGAUUCACAAAGAAAUAAUUUGAUGUUUAACAUUUGUAAAACUUUUCACACAAACAUUCCUGUUUUUUUUUUUUUAAAUUUCAUAUUUGAAGUAUAACAUGUAAGAUGAAAAUUAUUUUCAAUUCAGAGGUGAUAUGUCGACAAAUGGAUGAUUACAUCCGAGACCCAUCAGAUUGCGGUGCUUUCUACCGAUGUUUCAAUGGCAGCCCAGUCAGGUUUGUUUGCCCCCGAAAUAUGCUUUUCAGUAGAAGCCGGAAACUUUGUGAUUAUGCCCGUAAUGUCCAAGACUGCAAUAAUUAACAUCAAAAAGGUAAACUUUCUUUCUUAUUUUAACUAAUCACUCUGACAUUUUUAUCUUUAAUAUAAGUCUUUUUUUUUCUUUUUCUUUUUUAUCGUUUGAUUUGUCGUUAGCGCGUCGGACAUGUUUAGCGGUUUUUCUUCCCUUUUGGGGUCGAUAAAAUAAGCACCACUGAACCCCCUCCCCCCCCCCCUACAAUUGUUGGUCAUGUGCUAAAAUUUGAAACCAUUAUUAUGGCUUACUUUGUAAGGCAGCGAGCUGGGCAAAUCGUUAGCACACCGGGUGAAAUGCUUAGCGGCAUUUCGUCGAGGUCGACUUUGUCCUUUAUCAUUUCGGGGUCGAUAAAAUAAGUACCAGUUGAAUAUUAGGGUCGAUCUAAUCGAUUAUCCCCCUCCCUCAAAUUUUCAGACUUUGUAGCUACAGUAGAAAGGAUUAUUAUGGUUUGGUUUGAGCGAUGUAGCUGGCAGAAGCAGUGCAAAUUGUGGAUCGAUAAGUUCUGAGUUCAAAUCCCAUCGAUAUCGACUUUGUUUCCCACUCUACUGCAGCUGCUAUUGGUAGGUCUCUAGCUGUUGCCUUGAUUGAAGUUAUCGUUCCUGAUAUUGAUGUUACUAUUGUUGGUUUGCCUCUUCUUGUUAUUGUGCUUAUUGUUGUUUCCUUUUUCUGAUUGUGUUGUUUGCGCUGGUAGCAGAAACGUUAGCGCGCCGGGCGAAAUGCUUAGCAGUAUUUCGUCUGCCGUUACGUUGUGAGUUCAAAUUCCGCCGAGGUCGACUUUACCUUUCAUCCUUUCGGGGUCGAUAAAUUAAGUACCAGUUACGCACUGGGAUCGAUGUAAUCGACUUAAUACCUAUGUCUGUCCUUGUUUGUCCCCUCUGUGUUUAGCCCCUUGUGGGUAGUAAAGAAAUAGGUAUUAUUACUGCUGCUGCUAUUUUCGUUGCUAUUGCUUUUGUGGUUGUUGGUAAAAGAGUAAAAGAGUAAAGAGUAAAAGAGAGUAUGGAUCCAUCCUGCAGACAAUAAGUAUUUGAAAUAGCUGCCAUGGUUUCAUCACUCUGCACACAUCUAUAAUUGGCAAUGUUAACUGUCAUGCCACCUAGUCGCACUGCCAGGCCUAGAGCUUUUGGAAGUUACCCAUAAUGCCCAGUCUGAAAGCCAGACAUAUACAAAGACACAUGCUUGCCUGUAUCCAUGUACUUUCAUACACUCACUCACCCAUAUAUGUACAAAUAAAUUGGACAUACUUUUUUCUGUUUUGCACAUUAUUUUGAACAGUUCCAAAUACUAAACUAUGGGAUUUCCAGGAAAUUAUGGAUACUGUAUCUACUAAAACUGAACAUAUUGACUUAAAAUGAGAUAUUUUGGUAAUUUACUUCUUUUUUUGUUAUUUUGUUAUUGUAGGAAAUUGCUGAAAACUUUUACUGACAAAUGAAAUUAAAGAGAACUGAAUAUAGGAAAGAAAAUACUUUAAACUAUCCUCUAAUGAAAAUCAAUCCAAAAUAGGGCUUGUUUUCUUCUCACUCCAGAGGGUCAAAAACACUUUGAAAAUAUGCAAAUAUAAUACUU